rnacentral:rRNA from 1 species
UACGUAGGGUGCAAGCGUUGUCCGGAAUUAUUGGGCGUAAAGAGCUCGUAGGCGGUUUGUCGCGUCGGCUGUGAAAACUCGGGGCUCAACCCCGAGCCUGCAGUCGAUACGGGCAGGCUAGAGUUCGGUAGGGGAGACUGGAAUUCCUGGUGUAGCGGUGAAAUGCGCAGAUAUCAGGAGGAACACCGGUGGCGAAGGCGGUUCUCUGGGCAUGACCUGACGCUGAGGAGCGAAAGUGUGGGGAGCGAACAGG